UCAACCGAGCUCUCGUGUGCCCCCAUGGCAGCAACAGCGUCGACGUCCACGGCCGUCCACGUCCUGGAACCCAACCACGAACCCGGCACCGGAUCCUCGGCCGAGGCGUGGAGGCCGCUGUCGUGUGCUGGCGGCGGCGAGGAGAACGUGCUCGACCUGGACUCCCCGUGGGCGGCGGUGGCCGAGGCGGGAUCGAGGUUGGAGGAGGCGACGGCGGCGGGAGCUGGCCUUCGCGCCGAGGAGGAGGCGGGGCAGGAUGAGAUACGAGACAACCUGCAGCGACAGGAGGACGAGCUGAUGGCAUUGGAAGCAAUAUAUGGGGAUGACCUUGUUGUAUUCGAAAGCAAAGCAGGGCUCCGCUAUUUCCAGAUUUACAUACGCUAUGAUUUGCAAGAUGGUGCUGAAGUAUGCGCCAAGUUUUCCUCAGAUAAUGAGCAUGCAAAAGAUGGAUGUUGUCUUGAUGAUAGUAGAGAGCAGCAUCAGGACGACGAACCAGAUGACUUCUCGUACUCUUGCAGCUUCGAGCACCUGCCCCCUUUGGUAUUGACAUGUGUGUUUCCGCGGUCAUAUCCUAGCAAAGAUCCCCCACAUUUUGUAGUCACUGCUAAAUGGAUGGAUGGGCCUAAUGUUUCUCGACUCUGUGAGAUGCUUGACAUCAUCUGGGCAGAGCUGCCGGGCCAAGAAGUCGUAUACCAAUGGGUUGAGUGGAUACGUAGUUCCUCUUUGCCGCACCUCGGGUUUGACAGCAAAAUAACUUUGGGUCCAGAUAGUCCUACGCACAAAGGAGAUAAGCGUGCAAUCUCGAGAAGUCUCUCACUGGAGUCUGUAAUCCCUUCCAUGUUCAGUUAUAGUAGUAGGAAGUGCCAUCAAGUUUUUCUUGAGGAUCUCCAUAUGUGCAUGAUUUGCCUUAACCAGACUAAAGGUUCAAAUUUCAUCAGACUUCCGUGCGAGCACUUGUUUUGUGUCAAGUGCAUGGAGACCUUAUGUAAGAUGCAUGUGAAGGAAGGUACUUUGUUUCAGUUGAUAUGCCCUGAUACAAAGUGCACUGCUCCUAUUCCACCGUAUUUGUUAAAGAGGCUUCUCGACGAGGAAGAAUUCGAACGCUGGGAUAGGCUUACUCUUGAGAAAGCAUUGGACUCGAUGUCAGACGUGGUUCAUUGUCCAAGAUGUGCAAUCGGUUGCUUGGAAGAUGAGGAUAACAAUGCGCAAUGCCCAAAAUGUUGCUUUGUCUUCUGCUCGUUGUGCAAGGAUUCACGCCAUCCAGGGAAGCAGUGUCUAACUCUAGAAGAAAAGAUCCGGCAGCGACAGGCGACAGGCAAGAUGAGCGCAAGGGAGAUGGUGGAGGGACUGAUGAGCAUCAAGGAGCUUUACAACGAUGCUAGGUCAUGUCCAAAAUGCAGAAUGACCAUCAGCAAAACUGAAGGUUGCAACAAGGUGGUGUGCAUCAGUUGUGGUCAGGCAUUCUGCUUCCUCUGUGGCAAGGCUAUCAUCGCUGGCUAUGCCCAUUUCAGUAGGAACUGUGACCUCUUUGCGGAGAAAGAAAAGGACACGAUGGACUGGCGGAAGCGCCUGGAACAGCUCGAAACCGGAAACCGCAUGCGAGCUCAAAGCCAACCGGUAGGCAGCACCGUGAAAUGCCCGAAAUGUCGUCAAAAGAUUUACAAGGGCGACGAUAAGUAUAUUUUUUGUUGGGUGUGCCAAGCCACCUAUUGCACGAUGUGCGGAAAGCAGGUCCAGUUUACCGGGAUGCAGAGCGAGCAUUGGGGGUCACCACAAUGCGUGGGGAUAAAGUUCUAG
rnacentral:rRNA from 1 species